ACAGCUAUGCUCUCAAAGCAGGUUGCAGGGGUUUCACUCUCCUUGGGAACUCUACAAACGAACCCUUGUUUGCCUUGAACCUUAAGACAUUUAGCUUUGGGCUUGGACAGUUUGUGGCAGAAUAAACCAAGGCUUGGGUGUUUUCUACAGCAGUCACCAAAGGCUGAUGUUUAACCCCUCGUGUGCCAUAAAGGAGUGCAGCCAAUGGAUUGCCAGUCAGCAAAGGGAUACAGAUUUUACACCGAGGGACCUGUUACAUCCUUGGGCACAUGGGACUCCCAGGGGAGAUUAGACCUUCUGCAAGGACUGCAGGUGGGGAACUGAGGCACAGAGCGCCUAGAAGGGACUUGAUUAAGGUCCCGCAAGAAAUCAGUGGUGGAGCAGGGUGUUAAAUCUCAGUCUCCGGACUCUUCCAGGCUGGCACCCUAAGCACGGGAUGAAUCUUGCGUUAGUUUGUAGCAGCUGAAGCAUGAACAAAGAUGAGUCAGUAGUUGCAAUGGAUAGCUAGUUGGCUGGUCAUGCAGUAGCCAUGGAGGUGGUGGAUUUCAUCAUCAUAAACAAUAAGAGGGGCGCCGGUGUGCAUAUUCAAGUCCCAUUGAACCCCUAUUUUAAGGGCUUAGAUGGGAUUUAAGAGGUCCAACUGCAUAGGCCUUUGUUGGCAUUCUGCACAGGAGUGAAUUUCACCUAUAGCGCUUUACUCCAAUGUGCUGCACAAACGUCAGUUCAUCAGUGCAAUUCUGAUUUUCAUUAGGAAUGUUUGCCCAACCACAUCAGCUUGUCUUUCUUAAAAGAAGGUCUGGAAGUCUGCUUUCUGCACUGUAUUUGCUCAGAUUGUAGCUGCAUGCACUUACGCAAUAAAACAUUUACAGCUGCUCUAGAAUUGUUGCAGGAGGCAGCUUGCUGCUUUCCUCAUUUGUUUUACUAUUUGGAGACAGGAUUUCAUGAAGUGUGAGGGAAUGCAGGGCCAUACCUUGUACUAUUCCCCCACCCCCAAAUCCCAGUAACUCUGACCUUUACUUAAUGUACUGAACUUAUUACUUAACAUGCACAGAUGGAUACAUGAAGAUCCUACUGACACAGGUCCAAUUCAAAAUCCAGAGGUUUUACCAUUUUUGCUAUUACUCUGUAUUGCUGUGUUGGUUUCUUUUUAGCCAGCUUUGUAUUCAUGCCACAAACAGCUGGUCUCAUUUCGUGAUGAUGCUUUCUUGUAAAGGGCACAGUUACCGUUAAAUUACUCUUUACUGCCACAA